GAUGAAGAACGUAGCGAAAUGCGAUAAGUAGUGUGAAUUGCAGAAUUCAGUGAAUCAUCGAAUCUUUGAACGCACAUUGCGCCCCUUGGUAUCCCGAGGGGCAUGCCUGUUCGAGCGUCAUUUCACACUCAAGCCUGGCUUGGUGUUGGGCGACGUCCCCUUUGGGGACGCGCCUCGAAACGCUCGGCGGCGUGGCACCGGCUUUAAGCGUAGCAGAAUCUUUCGCUUUGGAAGUCGGGGCCCCGUCUGCCGGAAGACCUACUCGCAAGGUUGACCUCGGAUCAGGCAGGGAUACCCGCUGAACUUAAGCAUAUCAAUAAGCGGAGGA
rnacentral:misc_RNA from 1 species